rnacentral:lncRNA from 1 species
AUGAGAUAUAGUGAUGAAAAAUGGGUCGUUGAUUAACCGAUGGAUUCAUGCCCAGUAAAGAAAAAUGUUCAGUGAACUUUGUUUUAAUUAAAAGCAAGUAAUCAGUUAAUAUGCAGAAUAUUGAGAAGAGUGUUAACUCUCCUGAUUAUGAGGCAAACGAAGAAUAAUUUGAAAGAUUCGUGAUAAAAAUUAUUUUUUAUGUAACUUUAAGCUGACUGGAGAAAUAAGUAGUUCAGAUAAUAAACAAGCUACAAAACAUUUGUUCAAACAUUUGCUGGCGUUGUUAAAGAAGAGGGAUGCGUUACGCGGCUGAGUUCACGGUUAAUAGAAUUAGUUUAUCUUGCAAGGGGGUGCCUGAGAGAACAGCCAUACAUCCAUACAUACACGCAUACAUAUGCAUAUAUCUGUGUGUGUGGAUGUGUGGAUGCAUAUAUUGCAUUGUUAAAUUACUGGUGCCUUCGCAAAUGUUUUCUGUCACAACUAUACAGUAUAUACUUCAGGAAAUAUCGAGAAAUUUUAAGCAAAACUACAGGUAUGAAUGUGUAGUUAAGAAGCUUGUUUUGUAACCACGCGGUCUCGGGUUCAGUCCUACUGCAUGGCGGCAGGUGCAAGUGUCUUUUACUAUAGCCGCGUACCGACCAAUGGCCUUGAGCGAAUUUGGUUGGCAGAAACUGUGUAUAAGCACGUCUUGUAUAUAUAUAUGUAUGUAUGUGUGUAUAUCCGUUUGCUCUUUUACUUGUUUAUUCUUUUAUUUGUUUCAGUCAUCUGACUGCGGCCGUGCUGGGGCACCGCCUCGAAGGGAUGCAAGGCAAAGUCGAUCUCGGAGGAUUUUGAACUCAGAACAUAAAGACAGACGAAAUACCGCUAAAUAUUUCACCCAGCUUGUUAACGUUUCUUAUUUCUUUAUUGCCCACAAGGAGCUAAACAUAGAGGGGACAAACAAGGACAGACAAAGGGAUUAAGUCGAUUACAUCGAGCCCAGUUCGUAACUGGUACUUAAUUUAUCGACCCCGAAAGGAUGAAAGGCAAAGUCGACCUCGUCGGAUUUUGAACUCAGAACGUAACGGCAGACGAAAUACCUAUUUCUUUACUACCCGCAAGGGGCUAAACACAGAGGGGACGAACAAGGACAGACAAACGGAUUAAGUCGAUUACAUCGACCCCAGUGCGUAACUGGUACUUAAUUUAUCGACCCCGAAAGGAUGAAAGGCAAAGAUAACCUCGGCGGAAUUUAAACUCAGAACGUAACGGCAGACGAAAUACGGCUACGCAUUUCGCCCGGCGUGCUAACGUUUCUGCCAGCUCGCUGGCUUUGGAACAGUAAUAUAUUGCCUGCAAAUAUUGCUUGAAUAUAGAACAACAUUUCCUGGAAUAAGCCAAGUUUGAAUAAUUUAUUUAUAAAAAUUAAAAACAGAAAAUUGCUUGCUUGCAGAAUAUUGUCUCCGUUAAUAGAAAUCUACGGACGACCACAGAAUUCUAUGUUGACGAUGUUCCACUCAUUUAUCAUCGUAAGCAAAAAUCGCCAUGACAUUUACUCACUAUAUGACGCCAAUAUAUAAAAUCAGCAUCUGAAAACGUUUUAGUAAAAACAUAAAAACAAUAUGGUUGGUUCGAAUAUGAAGCAGCGUAGGUUACAUAAAACUAAUUUACUAAAGAUUUUAAAACUGGUUUGUUUAUUAACCGUUCAGAAACCGGACAUUCUCGCUCUCAAAUCGGCUGCGCCUUGAACACAAACAACGAUUUUGUCUUCAGUUGUUGAAGAUAUAAAUAGCUUUUAAGAAUACGAACGUAAUGCAGGGAAUAUUUCAAUGACAAUUAUAUCAAAAGAAUGAGAUAUAGUGAUGAAAAAUGGGUCGUUGAUUAACCGAUGGAUUCAUGCCCAGUAAAGAAAAAUGUCCAGUGAACUUUGUCUUAAUUAAAAGCAAGUUAUCAGUUAAUAUGUAGAAUAUUGAGAAGAACAGAGUGUUAACUGCCCAGAAUAUGAGGCAAACAAAGAGUGAUUUGAAAGAUUCGUGAUAAAAAUUAUUUUUUAUGUAACUUUAAGCUGAUUGGAGAAAUAAGUAGUUCAGAUAAUAAACAAGCUACAAAACAUUUGUUCAAACAUUUGCUGGCGUUGUUAAAGAAGAGGGAUGCGUUACGCGGCUGAGUUCACGGUUAAUAGAAUUAGUUUAUCUUGCAAGGGGGUGCCUGAGAGAACAACCAUACAUUCAUCAUUCAUACAUACACGCAUACACAUGCAUAUAUCUGUGUGUGUGUGUGUGUGGAUGCGUGGAUUCAUACACAAACACAUACAUGUAUAUGUAUAUAUAUAUAUAUAUAUAUAUAUAUAUAUAUAUAUAUAUGAAUUAGAAGCAGCUCAAGGAGUAUAAACACACAUACACAAGGUAUGUAUUUUGCUAGUUUGUGGGUAGGCUGCGCUUUUAGGCGUAAGAGAAUACAUUCUCUUCUAUGCACUAGGUGUUAAAAGACCUAGAAGUCAGUAUUAGACAAGCGAGACAAC